rnacentral:piRNA from 1 species
AAGUAUCCUUUAAAUCUGAUGUUGUAUC